CCUGGGCUCAGGACGAACGCAGGCGGCGUGCCUAAUACAUGCAAGUCGAGCGGACUUUCAUUGGUGCUUGCACCUUUGAAAGUUAGCGGCGGACGGGUGAGUAACACGUGGGUAACCUACCCUGUAGAUUGGGAUAACUCCGGGAAACCGGGGCUAAUACCGAAUAACACUUUUGACCUCAUGGUCGAAUGUUAAAAGACGGUUUCGGCUGUCACUACAGGAUGGGCCCGCGGCGCAUUAGCUAGUUGGUGAGGUAACGGCUCACCAAGGCAACGAUGCGUAGCCGACCUGAGAGGGUGAUCGGCCACACUGGGACUGAGACACGGCCCAGACUCCUACGGGAGGCAGCAGUAGGGAAUCUUCCACAAUGGACGAAAGUCUGAUGGAGCAACGCCGCGUGAGUGAAGAAGGAUUUCGGUUCGUAAAACUCUGUUGCAAGGGAAGAACAAGUAGCGUAGUAACUGGCGCUACCUUGACGGUACCUUGUUAGAAAGCCACGGCUAACU
rnacentral:rRNA from 1 species